AGACCCGAAACCCGGUGAUCUAGCCAUGGGCAGGUUGAAGGUUGGGUAACACUAACUGGAGGACCGAACCGACUAAUGUUGAAAAAUUAGCGGAUGACCUGUGGCUGGGGGUGAAAGGCCAAUCAAACCGGGAGAUAGCUGGUUCUCCCCGAAAGCUAUUUAGGUAGCGCCUCGUGAAUUCAUCUCCGGGGGUAGAGCACUGUUUCGGCUAGGGGGCCAUCCCGGCUUACCAACCCGAUGCAAACUGCGAAUACCGGAGAAUGUUAUCACGGGAGACACACGGCGGGUGCUAACGUCCGUCGUGAAGAGGGAAACAACCCAGACCGCCAGCUAAGGUCCCAAAGUCAUGGUUAAGUGGGAAACGAUGUGGGAAGGCCCAGACAGCCAGGAUGUUGGCUUAGAAGCAGCCAUCAUUUAAAGAAAGCGUAAUAGCUCACUGGUCGAGUCGGCCUGCGCGGAAGAUGUAACGGGGCUAAACCAUGCACCGAAGCUGCGGCAGCGAACGUAUCACCCAAGACAACUUUACGGAGUUGACGAUUGACGGAGCGAAGCGACGUCAAAGCGUUCAUUAAAGUCGAGUUGGCUUAGGGAUACGUUCGUUGGGUAGGGGAGCGUUCUGUAAGCCUGUGAAGGUGUGUCGUGAGGCAUGCU
rnacentral:rRNA from 5 species